GGGAUUGUAGCUCAGUGGUAGAGCUCUUGCCCUUCAUGCAGGAGGCACUGGGUUCAAUCCUCAGCACCA
rnacentral:tRNA from 1 species